UUUAUUUAGUUUAUAUCAUCAUCGUUUGAUCAUUAAAUUGGUUGAAUUGUUAAUAGGAAUUUUAUCAAUCAAAAGUAUUUCUUUCCUAUUGCAAUAUAAUAUUCAUUGAAACUGUAAUGUAAAUAUUGUAAAUAUCAUAUUGAUCUUUAGCUUGCUAUACUGAGCUACAUUACAAUUGUAAUGGAUACAAGUUUCGGUAAAGAGUCAAUUGUCAUUCUAUACCGCACUUAGGAUUCACAAUGUUCAUUUAUAUUAUAAUUACUGUUUACCAAUUUAUAGCUGAAUAAAGGACCAACCAUCUUCACUUUGUUAUCCUCACCAUUUGAUCACCAUCAUGAUGAAUAUUAAUAAAUUGUAGAUGGCGAAAAAGAAACUCGGAAAACGCAAGUUAAUUACAAUUCUGGACCAGAUAAUAAGAUUUCCAGUUGCCAUUAAAAAGUGAAUCUAUUAUCCAGCCAAGAGAUAUAAAAAGAUGGACCAUUCGUUUCAAUCAACAGGGAUAAUCAGAAAGUCACCCACCAAUGGUGUGGUUGUCAUUGCGACUUCAAAUGGUUUCAAAGCCUACCAACGAUCAAUGAUUUAAACCAAUUGAUACAUCAUAUUGAACGAGAAACAAAUAUUGGAAAAGGUCAAGAAGGUUCAGGUGAACCAAAAAAGAUGAUGAACCUGAUUGGAUCAAUGAAUGGCCACCUGAUGCUUUUCCCAUGAGACUACAUAUAAGAUGAACAGGUUAACUUGGCUGUUAUGGACGUAUGUUUAUCUUUAUUGGAUUUCACUGCUUACAAGAACACAAAUCUGGCAAUCGUUUCCGUUUCCAGGGUGUUAAUGAGUUUCAUCGUUUUUUUACCGGAUUCCCAUUGUUUUGCUUCAAUCUCUGUUAUCAAUCAAACUGACCUGCAAGGUUAUCCUUGGAUUAACAUAGCACAAGAUUGAGUAAACCUUGAACCGGUCAUCCGUAAUGUGUUUUGUUGCUGUUAACAUGAUCAAGAUUAACUCAAGUGUGGUGAUAAAGAUGUAAAGUCACACGAUGUUGGUAGCCUUUUAGAAGCUGAUGUUGUUUUGUUAAUCAUCAAAUAAAACAAUAAACGAUGUUUUUUGGUAACAAUUGAUUAAAUCAAUUGAAGGAAAGAAGCAUUAAAGAUGAGGAAUGAGAGAAAAAUAGAUUCCUUUCCUGUUAUCAUUUCAAUCUUGGCCAUCUUCAGAAGGAAAACAGCCGUUUGUCUUUACCAAGAAGUAGCCAUCAACGAUAAUAAUCUUACAUCGAGUUAAACCAAUUCGUGAGGAGAUUUAGGUGUUUAUCAAAUCCAAUUCAUUCACAGAAUCAAAAUUGAAAUGAAAUUGCUGAUGAAGGGCAGAAAUGUGAACCAUUCAAAAGUGUAUUUUUAACCAGAUGCUCAAAAGUGGAGUAAAAUGGGUUUGGUGUUUUCAUUUUUACCUCAGGCCUUUUGAUCAGUUUAUUAACUGUUAGUUAACUACCCAAGGUUACAAUUUGUGUCGUGAUACUUUUCCUACCAAACUAUUCAAUACUGAUUAUAUUGAUCAAGCAAAAGCUGAAUUGGCUGGAGACGAUCAUCAUUAAUUAAUUUCAGUCAAUUAAUGGAUGGCAAAGGAAAAAGCAAGCAAAAAAAGAAACUAUUCGGACAUUAAACCUUUCUCCUUAAAAUAAUCAAUAACCAGUCAUUAUCCAGAUUUUACUUUUAAUUUAAAAAAUAUCAAUCCAACAACAAUUAGAGACUAAUUAAAAUGGAACCCAAAAUAGAACCACUUUGUCAUGGAAAAGACAAAUUGAUUAAAAAUAUCACCAGCUAUUGAUCGAGGCCACCAAAUCUAUCAUCGAUUUAAAUGGUUAACCCAAUUUAUUUCAUUGGAUAUUGAAACUGUUAUUAGCAAGUAAAUGGAAAAACUUGAUUACAAUCAAAAUUGCUCUCAAUUGUCAAUCGAGAUGGACAAAUGUUGAAACUGAUAAAUCCUGGAAAUCAAUUGAAGAUCUUUCCCAAACUCUUUCAUGGUAAAGCUUCAAACAAAGCCGAAUGGCAAUAAUUUUCUUAAUCAUAUUUAACAAUUUCACCUCAACAAUUUAUCAUCAUUAACGACUGCCAAAGAAAUGGUUCAACUUAAAAAUGGUUGAUCCUUUAUCAUCCCACAUUAAUGGUCUUCUGGUUAUAAAAUUUCAUUCAUUUGUUAGUCUAAAUUGUUUCAAUCUUUAAAAUUGUCAUCAACUGUUCAAUCUAAUCUCUCAAACAUAAUAGUCAAUUACAUCAUGUUUAUAAUCAUUAUUUCCUCCCUCAAUUGCAGUUUGGACAUUUCGAAGAUCUAAAUAAGGCUAAAGAUGAUUACAAGAUUUCCGUUUCAUGUGGGCUUUCAUGUGAUCCCAAUAGGCUAUCAAAAAGUGCCACAACCCGCUGGGUGCGUUUAGGAGACUAAAGCAACCAGUAAAAAAACAAAAACAGAACCGGAAGAUUUGAACAUUUGAUUGCAACAAUUUUAAUCGGUGAAAUCUGUUCAAGAUAAAAAUUGUUAAUAAAAAAUGUUGAUUGCUUGUUUAUUGCUUUUCAUUUUGCAUUCCAAGUAAUCAAACUGAUCAACACAUUUGACCUUAAA